UACGGGGGGAGCAAGCGUUGUUCGGAUUUACUGGGCGUAAAGGCGCGUAGGCGGCGUGACAAGUCACUUGUGAAAUCUCCGGGCUUAACUCGGAACGGUCAAGUGAUACUGUCGUGCUAGAGUACAGAAGGGGCAACUGGAAUUCUCGGUGUAGCGUGAAAUGCGUAGAUAUCGAGAGGAACACCUGCGGCGAAGCGGGUUGCUGGGCUGAUACUGACGCUGAGGCGCGAAAGCUAGGGGAGCGAACGGG
rnacentral:rRNA from 1 species